rnacentral:rRNA from 1 species
GAGUUUGAUCAUGGCUCAAAAUGAACGCUGGCGGCACGCUUAACACAUGCAAGUCGAACGAGAUCUUCGGAUCUAGUGGCAGACGGGUGAGUAACGCGUGGGAACCUGCCCAGUAGUAGAGAAUAACUUGAGGAAACUUAAGCUAAUACUUUAUACACCCUUCGGGGAAAAGCUUUAUGCGCUAUUGGAUGGGCCUGCGUUAGAUUAGUUUGUUGGUGAGGUAAUGGCUCACCAAGACUACGAUCUAUAGCUGGUCUGAGAGGAUGAUCAGCCACACUGGGACUGAGACACGGCCCACACUCCUACGGGAGGCAGCAGUGGGGAAUAUUGGACAAUGGGGGCAACCCUGAUCCAGCGAUGCCGCGUGAGUGAUGAAGGCCUUCGGGUUGUAAAAAUCUUUCGUCAGGGAAGAUAAUGACGGUACCUGAAGAAGAAGAUCCGGCUAACUCCGUGCCAGCAGCCGCGGUAAUACGGAGGGAUCUAGCGUUAUUCGGAAUUACUGGGCGUAAAGCGAGCGUAGGCGGAUUUGUAAGUUGGAGGUGAAAUCCCAGAGCUUAACUCUGGAACUGCCUUCAAAACUACAUUUCUUGAGUUUGGUAGAGGAGAGUGGAAUUCCUAGUGUAGAGGUGAAAUUCUUAGAUAUUAGGAGGAACACCAGUGGCGAAGGCGACUCUCUGGGCCAAUACUGACGCUGAGGUUCGAAAGCAUGGGUAGCGAACAGGAUUAGAUACCCUGGUAGUCCACGCCGUAAACGAUGACAACUAGCUGUUGGAAGACAACGUCUCUCAGUGGCGCAGCUAACGUUUUUAAGUUGUCCGCCUGGGGAGUACGGCCGCAAGGCUAAAACUCAAAUGAAUUGACGGGGACCCGCACAAGCGGUGGAGCAUGUGGUUUAAUUCGAUGCAACGCGAAAAACCUUACCUACUCUUGACAUACUUGGAAACUCUUGUAAUGAGAGUGUGCCUUUUGGAACCAAGAUACAGGUGCUGCAUGGCUGUCGUCAGCUCGUGUCGUGAGAUGUUCCGUUAAGUCGGAUAACGAGCGCAACCCUUACCCUUAUUUGCCAGCGAUUCGGUCGGGAACUAUAAGGGGACUGCCGGUGAUAAACCGGAGGAAGGUGAGGACGACGUCAAGUCAUCAUGGCCCUUACGAGUAGGGCUACACACGUGCUACAAUGGGGAAUACAGACGGACGCUAAGCCGCGAGGUGGUGCUAAUCCUAGAAAGUUUCUCGUAGUCCGGAUUGGAGUCUGCAACUCGACUCCAUGAAGUCGGAAUCGCUAGUAAUCGCGAAUCAGCAUGUCGCGGUGAAUACGUUCUCGGGUCUUGUACACACCGCCCGUCACACCAUGGAAGUGGAUUGCACCAGAAGUAGAUAGUCUAACCUUCGGGAGGGCGUUUACCACGGUGUGCUUCAUGACUGGGGUGAAGUCGUAACAAGGUAACC